UCACAAUCACCUCCCACCCCAUAAAGACAAUUAUGACAGUGCUAAAAAGCAUCCCAUCAACCCCUACUAGUUCCGAGAAAUGGUUGGCUACAGAAAACCCUCUGCCCUAACACUGAACCAUGUUUCCUCUUGUGAGAUGUUCCCAAACUGUUUACUUGCCCUCUUGCAGCCAACCAUGGCAACCUGGCAACUAGGUAUUCCAGAACACUAAUCAAAAAAUCUGCCCACUUCUAAAAAUCCAACUGCCAAGUGCACUUGCCAAUCAGAGAUCAUCUCAGUAUUUCUUCUUUUUGGCCUUGAAAAACUUACGGUCCCUUCUAACACUUUGGAAUCCCUGCUGAAAUGAAAAUGAUGGAGACAGGUACUCUGGCAGUAAGUUUAUAAGUAUAUAGCCUUUGUUAAUUUUGUUGCUGUCUUACUUUUGUCUUUGACAGUUGUCUCAGUGCCACACUUAGAUCCUGCCAGAUCUACCUGUGCUGCAGACUUGGGGGCUCUUGAGCAGGAGCAGUACCCACCCAGGUCCCUUAAACUGCAACUGCUGCUUGUCACCCAAAACAGUGGUGGUAUUAUUUCGCUGUCAACCAGACCAGAAUAUAAAUCAUAUGAUGCCAACACUCAUUACCCAGGAUUCAGAACAGUGUCUAAUAUGAGAAAGACGCUCAACCAGAACAUAAAAUAAGGGAGCCUCCAAACUUGCCUAGCCUUAUCCUUGAUGAAGCAAAGCCUGCAGCUUGCCUUGGAGAAGAGGCCAAUGGACAUCAGGACUAUGGAUGAUAAUCUUCCAUGCUCAGAUGCUCUGUCUCAGGCCACGGUAUUUGGCAGAAAUCAGUGAUUUUUCAGAAUGUUGGGAGGGGCCUACAACUGGCACUAGUGUAUUUUUGUCACUUCAAAGCAUCUGUAGACAGUACUUUGCUUUUUCAUACAAAAGUAAGCUUAGUAAUACUUUGCUGCAUUAUAGGUCAGGCUGCCUGCAGACAUAGACCCUUUGCUGCCUUAUUGCCAGUUACAUUAAAUACAGUAUAUGACAAGAUUUAUUAAUACUGCGCUGUAGUUAUCAUCUGUGCGAGCAUAUACAAUGGUCCCCAUGCAGAAAAAAAAGGUUGAAAAGAAAGAUGGUAAGAAGAAGGAGAUGAUUAUGGUGGAAGUUAAAAAGGAAAUCAUUGAGAAGUAUGAACGAGGUAUGCGAGUGGCCGAAAUCAUAAGAUUUUAUAAGAAGUAUACGUCUGCAUCUUGUCUGCAGAGGAGGAGGAGAAACAGCCAGAGGAAUCCCUCACUUCAAAUGAGAUUAGGGAGAUGUGUAAAAUGUGGGAAACAGUGCAAAAUUUUGUAGAAAAGCACCACCUGAAUAGGGCCAUAGCAGUGCGAGCUAUGAAUCUGUUUAACAAUGAUGCAAUGUCACUUUUCUGCAAAAUCCUCAAAAGGAGGCAAAGCAAGUGUCAUUGGAUAGGUUCCUUGUUAAAGUUGCACGAAAAGAAAAUGAUUCAAUGGAACCAAUAGAUUGCAGUGAUUCCAUUAGUGAUCAUGAAAGUCGUCCUACACGAUAACCCUCCUCUCUCUUGUCUCCCUCACACCAGUCAUGAAGGUUUUCAAAGGUAAGUGCAGGUUAAUUUAUUUUUCUUUAUAUUUUGUACUUUCUUUAUU